GGUGUAAGUUUUACGUUCAAUUGUUGUAAUUAAACCGAUUGUUUCUGAAGAUGGUCACAAUUACUCAAACAAUUAUCUGAUUUUAUUUGCUUUUCUUAUUUUCUAUAUGUUUUAUUUGGCUCCCCUUAAAAAUCUUUCAAUUUGGCUUCCAUAUAAAUAAUCUGGGUAUUUUUUGUUUUGUUUAUUUAAUAUAUUUUUUUACUUUAUACUCCCUCCAUCUUAUAAUACAGUGUUUUUAAAAUAUAAUGCAUUCUAAAGGACAAAAAUAAUUUUACAUUAAAUACUUUCUAUUUAUCCACCAGUCACCGGCAAUUACAUUGAUGAUAGCAUCUG
rnacentral:lncRNA from 1 species